UCCCGCCGCAGCCUAGAGCGCCUGGCCCUGCAGCUGAGGGACGUGGACAUCGCCCCCAAGGAGCUGGGCGAGGGAAGAAGCAGGUGACCUUGGGGAGGCCCCGCGAGGAGGCGGAUCCCUAACUUAAUUUGGCUGCUUCUGUGAGGAAAGGGGCAGGUGGUCCAGGAGAUUACGUCCCAGGCGAAAAAAAAAAACAACGGGGCCCAGAAAUAAUGAGGUGUGUUUGAGGACAUCAGGAGGUAUAAAAUCUAUGGCUCAAAUAAUUGAAAAGUCCAGAGUGGGCCAGGAUCGGCUGAAUGCAGGGGCCAAAAUAUAUGAGGAACCUGUGGCUCACCAUCCCUAGUUCAGUUUUCCCAUGCAUUUAGAUUCACCCUCAGGCAGGGUAUCCUCUCUUGGUGGCAAGAUGGCUUUCCCUAUCUCCAGACGUAAUUCCCAACAGCUUAGCAACUUGGUAGAAGGAGAACACUUUUUUUUUUGCCCCCUGAGAUUUCCGAUAAAAUUUCCAGAACUAACUGAUUGGAUCAAGUGCCCAUCCUGGAACACAGAGGUAAGUAACCCAAGAGAUGGAGAUAAAUGCUCUGACUCGCAUAAGACUGAGGGCAGCCAGAUGGGGCUGGAAGAACUUACUGUGAAAAAGUAAUUUCUGACCUAGCCAAUCUGCUGGCUCUAACCAAGCUAUCAUCAUGUCAGAGACGGCCUUUGUUAGGUUCUUCAUCAUCAUCUUUGUCUACCCUGCUUCAGAGAGAGAUGCCAAUGGGAGGGAAUCUCUAUCUGUGAUCUACCCCUGCAUAUCUUUAUACACCUUCUGUAGUUGGGCCAUCCACCCGGGGGAGAGACAGCUGAGGAAUACAGAAGGGCAAAGGGCUGUUGAUGAGUUAGGUUUGGAAGUGUUGUGUCUAAACUGCCCAGGAAAGUGUGUGUGUGUGUAUGCUGGGAAUUGAACCCAGGGCCUCACACAUGUGAGGCAAGCACUCUACUGCUGACCUACAUUCCCAGCCCCCAAUAAAACCUUGAGAUUACUGAAAUAUUCUACAUUAACAUUUUGUAUUGCAGCCAUGACCACAUAUGGCUAUUAAGCACUUGAAAUGUGGCAAGGAUGACUAAGGAACUUAAGUUUUAAUUUUUUAAAAUAGUCACAUGUAAUGAGUGUCUACUGUAUUAGAUGCAUCAGGAGGUGUUCUUGAAGAGCUAGGUGGAGCUGUCCAGCAGAGAUGAAUUUACAGUCUGAACUGUACAAAGCAGUUUGGUGAUCAGACAUGAGGAACAACGGUUGAAGCCAUGGACAUGAAUGAGACAGUCCAGGUAAUAUAUGUAGAGAAGAGACCUCGUUCUGGGAAACAACCCUAAACAGGCAGAGAAAUAGAAAGUGUUGAGAUGAUGUUUUGAAUCAUUUCCCAGAAGUGUUCUGAGAUGAGGGUUUGUGUUCAAAUGUAUUCAAAUUAUUUAUUAAGAAAGUGCUACCUGGAGCUGGGCAUGGUGGCACAUACAUCCCUGUAAUCCCAGAGAUUCUGGAGGCUCAGGUGGCCUCUACAUUUUAACAAAACCCUAUCUCAAAAUAAAAAAUAGAAAGGACUGGGGAUGUGGCUCAGGGGUAAAGUACCCUUGGAUUCAAUCCCCAAUAUCAAAAUGCAACAAAGCUACCUCAGCUUGGGGUGUAGCCCACUAAUAGAGCAUGUGGAUAGCAUACUUGAGGCCCAGAGUUCAAUCUGAUUGCCAUCCCACCAAAAAAAAAAAAAAAAAAAAAAUGCUACCAAGAGAAACCAGUAAGGGAGCAGGAGGAGAAAAAGGAAGCCAAGCAAGCACAUGAUUAUUGGGCAGAGAGUACUUCAGUUAGAGCCACAAGGGAGCCCUGGAAGUAAGUUAUGCCUCAGAUUUGUCCAGAAACAAGGGAUUUGGCCCUUUUGUACUUUCACAUCCCUCAGAAGUCGAGUCCCAGGCACUUCUGUCAAGGCAAAGCCCUCCAGCAGCAUGAGGAAUAAUGAAUUAAUAAAUUAUAAAAAGGCGGGAGUUCUAACUGUUGGAAGAGAAGCCAUAUGCCAAAGGUGGGCACUGUGGUAAUACAGGACGUGUGAGAGGGAAAUGGGCAAAUGCACAAGCGCAUACAGGACAUGAAAGGAUCCAUGGGAGUGGUGCUACGUACUGCCACUGUCUCUUACAGAAGAUGUUGAUACGGAGAGAUUGCUAAGUGACCUUGGGGAAAGUAAUUUUAGGGAGGUGGUGGUAGCAGAUGCCAAGUGUUAGUGCUUUAAGGAGUGAAUGAAGUGGAAGGAGGAAUGGGGAGAGCUGUUUUACAGGUGUGCUGAAAAGGGAAGGUCAGAAAUGGAAGGUUGGAGUUUGAGAAGGUAGGAAGGGGCUGGCGGGGUAACUCAGUGGUAGAGUGCUUGUCUGGCAUGCACUGGGUUCAACCCCCAGCACCACUACUACCACCCCCAAAGGUGGGAAGGUUUGCUGAGGGAGUCUUGGAAGUCUAAGGGGAAGGAAGCUAGUAGACAGAAUGGCCAUUGAAGGAAGGAGUUUUGGGGAAGAUGGGACAGGAUGGCAUCUUGGGCCAAGUUAAACCAAGGUAUUAAUAUGAAAGGGAGAAACAUUUCUUCCUCAGGAAUAGGUUAAUACUCAGGGUACCACAAAUGAUAUAAACCCCAAUUCAAGCUAGUUUAAACAUGAAGAGGGGGUAGUUUGUCAGUUAAAAGAAUUAAAUAAGAAGUAAUGACUUCAGGCAUGGCUGGAUCCAGGGGUUCUAACAAUGUCAUUUUGAACUUGGCCUCUGGCUCUUUUAGCUCUGCUUUCCUCUGGGCUGCCUUUAUUCUCAGACAGGUAUUCUCCUUGAUAGCAAGAUGGCCCACAGCAGCUCUAAGCUUUGUUCUACAAGCUCAAGGGAAAAGAUCAUAGCUUUCCUGAUGGCUUCACCAAAAGAAAUAGGGCAAUCAUCAGCUCAGCUUUUAGUCACCUUAAGACCAUCUCUUGGAUAAUAAUUUGUCACUGGGUAUGGUGGGACACACCUGUAAUCCCAGCAACUUGGGUGGCUGAGGCAGGAUGAUCACAAGUUCAAGACCAGCCUGGGCAACUUAGUAAGGACCUAUUUCAAAAUAAAAAAUAGUGCUGGGGAUAUAGCUGAGUUGGUAGCGUGCCUGCCUCACAUGCACAAGGCCCUGGAUUCAAUCCCCAGCACCACACACACACACACACAAAAUAAGAAAAAAAAAAAAAAGGGAAAAAGGUGGGGGCUAGGGUUGUAGUUCAAUAGUGAAGUGCCCCUCGGUUCAAUCCCCAGUACUGAAAAAAUAAGAAUUUUAUUCUUUGUCCCAGGUUCCUAGCAGAGCUGCUAAAACAUGCACAAUUUCCUAAGUGAUAGAAACAAUUUAUGAAGAAUCCCUUUGGUUAUACUGAAGUUUUUGCUAAUGAGUAUUCAUGGCAGCCCGUAUGUAGCUUCAGUAUGGGGCGAGCACCAGAAAGAACCUGGUGAUUUGUGGAUUGGAAUUUGGAGCCUGUGGACCUGGAGAUUGAAAUGAUUCACAUGACCAGUGAUUUAUUAAUCACCCAUGCCUAAAUCAUGAAACCCCAAUAAAAAUUCAGGAUGCUGGAGACCAACAGGUGUGAAUGCACCGAUGUACCAGGAGGGUGAAGUACCUGGAGUUCACAGGGACAGUGUCCUGGAACUCUGCCUUUGACUCUCCCAGAAUUUGCCCUGUGCCUUUGCCUGUUAUUACUUGGCAGGUCUUAAUUUGUAUCCAAUGAAACGAAUCCCAAGUGUAGCACUACCUGCAUUCUGAGUCAUUCUUGUGACUUACUGAACCUGAGAGUGUGGCCGCCUCUAAGGCAGCCAUGCAUGGCUAAGCCACCUAGGCCACCUCUCAAAUGCCUUUGAUUGAGCAGCUUUUGUGAUGUUCACAGUAUUUCCAAUUUGGAUACCUUCUUUCACAGCUGAAUGACACGUGUGUGGUCAGCACUGUUUGAAGGGCACCCAGGGUUGGCGUGCAGGGGUGGAGGGCAGAUGGGUAGGCCUGGGUACAGACAGGAAGUUGGUGCAAUGGUCCAGGAAAGGCUGAUGCUAACCUGACAAAGGCAGUACAGUGGGGCCUGUACCCAGGGGAAUAUCCAGAGAUUUUUGAGGACAUAGUGCCAGGCUGGCUGGUGGGAAAAAGAGUGCAGGAUGCCAUUGAACUUCUGUAAGGGCCUGAUGAGUGGCACUGAGGACAAAGUUUUGGGAUUUCUUCCUCAGUUAGCUACUAUGCACUCAUUCAAAUGACAAUAACAAGGCAGGAGAAUCACAAAUUUGAGGCCAGCCUGGGCAACUUGAUGAGACCCUAUCUUAAAAAAAAAAGGGGGGGGGCUGGGGCUUAGCAUGUAGUGGAGGCACUGGGUUCGUGCCUCAGCGCCACAUAAAAAAGAUAAAUAAAGGUGUCCAUCUACAACUAAAAAUAUAUUUUAAAAAUAUUUUUAGUUGUUGAUGGACCUUUUAUUUUAUUUAUUUGUAUGUGAUGCUGAGAAUCAAACCCAGUGCCUCACGCAAGCCGGGCAAGCACACUAACACUGAGCCCCAGCCCCAGCCCACAACUAAAAAUAUUUAAAACAACAACAACAACAACAAACUUGAGAGGGUCUCUAAAAACUUCAGAAAUAAAAAAAAUCUUAGAGAUCAUAGUUAACUUCCAUCCCCAAUUUAUAGAUAAUAAAGCCAAGGCCCAUAUAGAUGCAGCAAAUCAUUUUUAUUUACAAAGUGGAUAUGAAUACAAAUUUUGUUUUCCAUUAAAAACAUCAAGAAACUUAAAAGCCCAACAGAAAGGCUCAACUGAUUGAUACAAGUCAUUUCUUCAUUGAAUGAUUUGUUCAUCUAAACGUCACUAUUGUUAAACAAUAAAUUCUUGUUGUCAUAAGCUGGUGAGACAGGAUAGCAGAAACAGAACCAAGCAAGCUAGUAAUUUGGGAUAUCUAGGUGCUAUGAAAAAAAUCAAAGGACAACUGACAAGAGGGCUACUUGAGGUAAGAAGUGAUGUCGUCCCAGGUAGACUGUUGAAUGAGGACAAGCCAUGGGGAAAGCUGGGGGCAGCAUUCCAGGAAAGGGAAGAACAUUUGCAAAGAUCCUGGGGGAAUGGUCUGGGGCUGUGGCUCAGCAAGCACUCAUCUCACACGUGUGAGACCCUGGGCUCGAUCCAAGUGAAAUAAAGGUGUUGUGUCUAACUACAACUAAAAAAAUAUUAAAAAAAAAAAAAAAAAGAUCCUGGGGGGAGACAAUCUUAGGAUGUUUGUAAAACAGAUGACCUGUCUGGCUGCGGGGAGAGUGAGUGAAAUGAGUGAUAUUAGAUAGAUUCAAAGGUGGGCAGGGGCCAGAUAUGCAGCCACAGGGAAGAGUCUUGAUUGUGUGUUGACACCAGCCAUAUUAAGAUAUAAUUCAUCUAUCACCUGCUCCCACUGAGAUGCAACUCACACAUUUAAAGUAGAAAUUUAGAUUUCAUUCUAAGUGCAAUGAAAAAUUACUCAGGUAAGAUGGAUGUUUGUUUAUUUACUUACAGUGCUGGGGAUUGAACCUAGGGCUUUGCACAUGAUAAGCAUGUGUUCUACCACUGAGCUACACUCCAACCCCCGACCACAUUUUAAAGACUGUGUGGAGAGUGGACUUGACAGAUAUUAAGAAUAAGAACAGAGCCUACAGGACCUACUAGAGAGCUCUUGAGGUAACCUAGAUGAUGGACGAUCCCAAAAUGAACCACAGUGUUAACAGUGGUAAGGGUGACAAAUGGUCACAUUUGAGAUCUAGUGUGGGGAGGAAACCUACAGGUCUGGGUACUGGGUUAGGUGUGGGAAAAGGGGAAGAGAGUGUGGUAUUGCCUUUUAUUUAAUGUAUAAGAGUGUCAGAAGCCAGGUGUGGCGGGCAUGUGCUUGUAAUCCCAACGACUUGUGAGGCUGAGCAGGGGGAUCCCAAAUCUGAGGCUAGCCUAGGCAACUUAGUGAGACCCUCUCUCAAAAAUAAAAAUUAAAACGGCUGGGGGUGGAGCUCAGAGGUAGAGUAGCCCUGGGUUCAAUCCUACAAUACCCAGUAAUAGCAGGGGUAAGGGAGGAGAGUGUGGGAGAAAAAUGAGCCCUGUUUUGCAUAUAUUGAGUCUAGUACCAUAAUACUGGCCCCUUCAGUUGGGAAGACUGAUUAGUAGUUCAAGUGUACUGCGUGCAUGACCGAUGUGAUUCUGCAACAUGUACAAUCAGAAAAAUGAGAAAUUAUAUUUCAUUUAUGUAUAUCAAAGUACAUAAAUGAUUGUCAUGUGUAACUAAUUAGGAAAAAUUAAAAAAUUAAUUUAAAAAAUAGUUUUAAGGGUGGGGUUGUGGCUCAGUGGUAGAGUGCUCGCCUACCAUGUGUGAAUCACUGGGUUCGAUUCUCAGCACCACAUAUAAACAAAUAAAAUAAAGGUCUGUCAAAAACUAAAAUAUAUAUAUAUAUAUAUUUCAGAGGCCUACAGAUGAAAAUGGCCAGGCACAAAGGACAGAGAAACAGAUGAAGCCUACCCCCAGCUCUUCUUAAGUCACUGUCUCAGGAUCAAAACCCAAGAAAUAUAUCUUGGUACCACGCCCUGUUGAGAGAUGGUAGUUAAGGGGGCUGAGGAUGUGGCUCAAGCGGUAGUGCGCUCGCCUGGCAUGCGUGCGGCCUGGGUUCGAUCCUCAGCACCACAUACAAAGAUGUUGUGUCCGCCGAAAACUAAAAAAUAAAUAUUAAAAAUUCUAAAAAAAAAAAAAUUCCAUCCCAGGGACUGGGUUGUAGCUCAGUGGUAGAGCGCUCGCCUCGCACGUUCGAGACCCUGGGUUCAAUCCUCAGCACCACAUAAAAAUAAAUAAGUGAGAGAUGGUAGUUAGGAUGUAUUUGGCUGCAAAAAAACCCCCAGAUGAUCCUGUUUAAACCAUAAGGACACUCCUCAUUUCACAUCAGUAGUCUUCUUGGGCAUUCUUUGCUUUGUCCUUCUCUGGGAUUUGGCCUUGUCAUCAACUGGGAGAAAGAUGGGCACAGCAGUUCCAGGUUUCCUAUCCAGACCUCACAACAUCCAGAGAAGGAUGUGCAUCUCUUCAAUGCCUCCUUAACAAUAAGGAAUCCUUGCCAAAUUAUUUUGUUAUAUUAUGUGCAUGUAUAGAUAUAUAAUGAAUUUUUUUUUUGUUUUAGAUGUUGAUGGACCUCUAUUUUAUUCAUUUAUUUACAUGCAGUGCUGAGAAUUGAACCCAGUGCCUCACACAUGCUAGGCAAGCGCUCCACCACUGAGCCACAACCCCAGCCUGAUAUAUAAUGAAUUUCACCAUUAUAAUUAUAAUGCUCCAAAAAAAAAAAUAUGGGUCAGGGUGAGGAAUUCUUCCCUGACCCGCCCCCCGCCCCAAGCAAGCAGAUCUCUUACUAAUCCCUGGUCUGAAAGAAGUCACACAUCCAGCCCUAAACAAAACCCCUGCAAGGAGAACUGGCCCACUAAAAUUGGAAUAGACCUGUUAGGAUUUCUUCCUGGAGCUGGGGAAAAGGCCAUCCUGAACUAAAUCAGAACACUGCUGGGAGAAAGAAAAAUGGCUGUUAAGCAGGAGUUCAAAGUCUGCCACACAGUAGAAAAAACAGAUUGCUGGGGUUGGGAGGUGGAAAGCCAUUUGAUUUUAAGAGCAUCUUUCUAAGGAGUUCAAGAUUCUAGGACAAGCAAGGUGGAGCAAACCUGCAAUCCCAGUGACUUAGGAUUUUGAAACAGGAGGAUCACAAGUUCAAGGCCAGCCUCAGCAAUUUAGGGAGACCCUCAUCAACUUACACCCUUCCUCAAAAUAAAAAGGACUGAGGAUGUAGCUUAGAGGUAAAGCUCCCCUGAGUUUGAUUCCUAGUACAACAAAAGAAAAGUUCAAGAUUCUGCAUAAAGAAUUUUUCUUCCAACUGUAAACACAUAAAUGUUUGAGAGAGAAAAAUCUCCAAGCAAAUUCAGCCUUCUAAAGUUGCAAGUAUUUCAAUUUCCUUUGUCUCCACCCCUUAUACACAUGCUAUUUUUCUACAGUGGCCAGGAGCUCUUCAUUUAACGUUGCUCACAGGUGUUUUCACAGGUGUCUGGCUCUCCUGGACUCUACCUCUGAACCUACAUUUCACCCCAGUUGCUCAGGAGGCAAAUUUGAGGCCAGGUGGUGCAACUUAGUGGCACUCUAUGGCAAAAUAAAGUGCUAGAGAUGUAGAGUUCUUGCCCAGCAUGCACAAGGCCCUGGGUUCAAGCCCCAGAACUGCGAGGGCGGGGUGGGGGACCAUGUAACCAUAUCCAGACUAGACUGGACCUUUGUGCUCUUUCCACUCUUUCACAGUAAUAUGGUCGUAAGUACAGAGGGACAUCUUGAAGAGACUGUACAUCUGAGGAAAUUCUCUGCAGUCAAACCUGUUCCCCAAUAUCAGUGUCAGUCAACUUCUCAGCCUCCACUGAUUUACCAGAUGAGAUCCAUUCUAUGGCUUGGAACUGUUCCUCAAACCUGUGUCCUAAGUCUGUAAGCUGCCUAAUACCCUUAAUAAAUCCCUCUUUGCUUAAA